AUUGAACGCUGGCGGCAGGCCUAACACAUGCAAGUCGAACGGUAGCACAGAGAGCUUGCUCUCGGGUGACGAGUGGCGGACGGGUGAGUAAGGUCUGGGGAUCUGCCCGAUAGAGGGGGAUAACCACUGGAAACGGUGGCUAAUACCGCAUAACGUCGCAAGACCAAAGAGGGGGACCUUCGGGCCUCUCACUAUCGGAUGAACCCAGAUGGGAUUAGCUAGUAGGCGGGGUAAUGGCCCACCUAGGCGACGAUCCCUAGCUGGUCUGAGAGGAUGACCAGCCACACUGGAACUGAGACACGGUCCAGACUCCUACGGGAGGCAGCAGUGGGGAAUAUUGCACAAUGGGCGCAAGCCUGAUGCAGCCAUGCCGCGUGUAUGAAGAAGGCCUUCGGGUUGUAAAGUACUUUCAGCGGGGAGGAAGGCGACGCGGUUAAUAACCGCGUCGAUUGACGUUACCCGCAGAAGAAGCACCGGCUAACUCCGUGCCAGCCGCCGCCGUAA
rnacentral:rRNA from 1 species